UACGGGGGGAGCAAGCGUUGUUCGGAUUUACUGGGCGUAAAGGGCGCGUAGGCGGCCAGCGCAAGUCAGUUGUGAAAUCUCCGGGCUUAACUCGGAACGGUCAACUGAUACUGCGCGGCUAGAGUGCAGAAGGGGCAACUGGAAUUCACGGUGUAGCGGUGAAAUGCGUAGAUAUCGGGAGGAACACCUGCGGCGAAGGCGGGUUGCUGGGCUGACACUGACGCUGAUGCGCGAAAGCCAGGGGAGCGAACGGG
rnacentral:rRNA from 1 species